CGUGGUACAAUGCGAAGCGAAGCAGUGAUGUGAAGCAAAUCGCACCAAAGCCAGUCCCAGUUCGGAUAAGAGGCUGAAACUCGCCUCUUUGAAGUCGGAAUCGCUAGUAAUCGCAGAUCAGCAUGUUGCGGUGAAUACGUUCCCGGGUCUUGUACACACCGCCCGUCAAACCAUGAGAGUCACCAACACCCGAAGUCCGCCUUGGCGGCCUAAGGUGGGGAGAUGAUUGGGGUUAAGUCGUAACAAGGUAUC
rnacentral:rRNA from 1 species